rnacentral:rRNA from 1 species
GACGAACGCUGGCGGCGUGCUUAACACAUGCAAGUCGAACGGAAAGGCCCUGCUUUUGUGGGGUGCUCGAGUGGCGAACGGGUGAGUAACACGUGAGUAACCUGCCCUUGACUUUGGGAUAACUUCACGAAACUGGGGCUAAUACCGGAUAGGAGCUCCUGCUGCAUGGUGGGGGUUGGAAAGUUUCGGCGGUUGGGGAUGGACUCGCGGCUUAUCAGCUUGUUGGUGGGGUAGUGGCUUACCAAGGCUUUGACGGGUAGCCGGCCUGAGAGGGUGACCGGCCACAUUGGGACUGAGAUACGGCCCAGACUCCUACGGGAGGCAGCAGUGGGGAAUAUUGCACAAUGGGCGGAAGCCUGAUGCAGCAACGCCGCGUGCGGGAUGACGGCCUUCGGGUUGUAAACCGCUUUCGCCUGUGACGAAGCGUGAGUGGCGGUAAUGGGUAAAGAAGCACCGGCUAACUACGUG